rnacentral:rRNA from 2 species
AGACUGGAUAGGAAACAAAAAGGCAUCUUUUUGUUUUUAAAAGACCUUCUUACGAAGGUAUGCUUAAAGAGGGGCUUGCGCCACAUUAGUUAGUUGGUAGAGUAAAAGCCUACCAAGACGAUGAUGUGUAGCUGGACUGAGAGGUUGAACAGCCACAUUGGGACUGAGACACGGCCCAAACUCCUACGGGAGGCAGCAGUAGGGAAUUUUCGGCAAUGGAGGAAACUCUGACCGAGCAACGCCGCGUGAACGAUGAAGUAUUUCGGUAUGUAAAGUUCUUUUAUUGAAGAAGAAAAAGUAGUGGAAAAACUAUAUUGACGUUAUUCAAUGAAUAAGCCCCGGCUAACUAUGUGCCAGCAGCCGCGGUAAGACAUAGGGGGCGAGCGUUAUCCGGAAUUAUUGGGCGUAAAGGGUGCGUAGGCUGUUAGAUAAGUCUAUAAUUUAAUUUCAGUGCUUAACGCUGUCUUGUUAUAGAAACUGUCUUGACUAGAGUGAGAUAGAGGCAAGCGGAAUUCCAUGUGUAGCGGUAAAAUGUGUAAAUAUAUGGAGGAACACCAGAAGCGUAGGCGGCUUGCUGGGUCUUUACUGACGCUGAGGCACGAAAGCGUGGGUAGCAAACAGGAUUAGAUACCCUGGUAGUCCACGCCGUAAACGAUGAGUACUAAGUGUCGGGGUAAAACUCGGUACUGAAGUUAACACAUUAAGUACUCCGCCUGAGUAGUACGUACGCAAGUAUGAAACUUAAAGGAAUUGACGGGACUCCGCACAAGCGGUGGAUCAUGUUGUUUAAUUCGAAGAUACACGAAAAAUCUUACCAGGUCUUGACAUACUCUGCAAAGCUAUAGAAAUAUAGUGGAGGUUAUCAGGGAUACAGGUGGUGCAUGGUUGUCGUCAGUUCGUGUCGUGAGAUGUUAGGUUAAGUCCUAAAACGAACGCAACCCUUGUCGUUAAUUGCCAGCACAUAAUGGUGGGGACUUUAACGAGACUGCCAAUUAAACAUUGGAGGAAGGUGAGGAUUACGUCAAAUCAUCAUGCCCCUUAUGAUCUGGGCUACAAACGUGAUACAAUGGCUGUGACAAAGAGUAGCUGAAACGCGAGUUUUUAGCCAAUCUCAAAAAAGCAGUCUCAGUUCGGAUUGAAGUCUGUAACUCGACUUCAUGAAGUUGGAAUCGCUAGUAAUCGCGAAUCAGCAUGUCGCGGUGAAUACGUUCUCGGGGUUUGUACACACCGCCCGUCAAACCACGAAAGUUAGCAAUGCCCGAAAGCAGUAGCUUAACUUCGCAAGAAGAGGGAACUGUCUAAGGUAGGGUUGAUGAUUGGGGU